GUGUUUUGAGGUAAACAGCUGUCAAGUGUCCUGAUAAGGAGCCGAGUAGGUGGAUAAUGUUUGACAGGGCUGCUGUGAUGACGGAUCAAAGGUCCACGUCUGUUUUCCUGUCAGAUCCACCUUCAGACAUCAGAGGGAUUUCUGUCUGGGAGCAAAUCAGAUCUGGGCAUCAUGGUGGAACUGGCCUUCUAUCCGGCGGUGGCACUGAUAUAUUUCUUUGGAGUGAUGAAAGCCACGCAGGACGACCGGGUGGAGCUGGACGACCGGGCUUCGAUGAACGUCUUCUGUCUGUUCGUGCUAGCGCAGCCGCUGUGCUUCAUAAUUGGGUCGUACACUGGCAUGGCCACCUACCUGCUCACGGCGCUGGUUUCCUACAACUUCCUGCCGUGGAAGAAGUCAGAAAAGCCUGCGAAGGGGAAAGAAUCGAAGAAGGCAAAGUGAGAACAAGAGACACGCGGCGCGGGACGUUUAAACUGCUUGCACAAAAUAAGUUAUGUGAAGAAAUUGAUGUGAUAUUUUGGCAAACAGUGCUUUAGCAGUUUAAUCUGUUUCUGUAAAUUUGUUGUAUCUGUAUCUGUGAAAAGUCCUUAGUAAGCUAAGUGAAUCAUUUUAUGACGCAGCACAGGGCACAGCAGAAAGGAAAUUCAUGCUUGCUGUACCUUUGUGUCUGUUCGAUGUCAAUGAAGAUGCGGGUGACAGACACGCACAGAAAAAGCUCCUACGAGCAGCCAGGAAAGACCAAAAGUAGAAAAAAUAAACAUGCACCGGAUUCACUCA